AUACGUGGAGGGCAAGCGUUACUCGGAAUCACUGGGCGUAAAGCGCGCGCAGGCGGUCUUUUAAGUUGGAUGUGAAAGCCUACGGCUCAACCGUAGAACUGCAUCCAAAACUAUUAGACUAGAGUGUGGGAGAGGAAGAUGGAAUUAGUUGUGUAGGGGUAAAAUCCGUAGAGAUAACUAGGAAUACCAAAAGCGAAGGCAAUCUUCUGGAACACUACUGACGCUGAGGCGCGAAAGCGUGGGGAGCAAACAGGAUUAGAAACCCUAGUAGUCC
rnacentral:rRNA from 1 species